rnacentral:tRNA from 1 species
GGCGAGGUAGCUCAGGUGGUUAGAGCGUCGGAUUCAUAACCCGGAGGUCGGGAGUUCAAGUCUCCCUCUCGCUACCA